rnacentral:piRNA from 1 species
UAAAUGGAAAUAACCUUCUUCAAGUGCUGU